rnacentral:lncRNA from 1 species
CUGAUUUUUUUAAUAAAAUAAAAAAUAUUUAUUAAGUAGUAUUUUCAUAGUGGCAGUUAAUUUUUGAGAUGCUCUCAUUUUUUAGAAAUUGAAAAAUACUUUAAAAGUAUUCGAAAUACCAUAUUUUUCCACAUUCAUGAGUGGUGUAAGUUUUGAUUGGCUUAUAUGAUUCACUGUUAUAUAUAUAUUUUAACAGAUAUGACUGGAUCUGUGUACAAUUUUUUUUUUUUUUUAACAGAUAUGACCGGAUCUGUGUACAUUUUUAGCAUUCUUAUAGGGAAAAGUAGAAAAGAAUGAGUUGUGGAACGUGUUGAAAAGUUACAUAGAUAUCGAAACUAUGAAAUGGAUUAACGACCUAACAUGUUACCAUAUAUAAAACAUCUUGAAGCAAUGCGUCUUGAAGUAACACAUUUGGAAAAGUAUAUAUGUGAGGCUGAGAAAAUAUAUCAUCUAAUGAGAACACUUCCUACUCAUUGGCAUGAUAUUGUAGUUGAAAUUCUAGACAAGUCACUUAAUCUGGCUUAUAGCUAUCUGAUCAGGAUUUUAUGAAGAAAUGGAAGAAAGAAAAUUAGAAUAUUAAGAAGAUCAGCCUAUCUAUGUAUAGUUAAUUGUAGCAGUGACUUAGUGACAACCAAAUUGCUGAACAAUAUCUAUGGAAUGCUCUUCUCAUGGCUUGUAGUUGUACACAAAAGUUUAAUUUGAUCGCAUUAUAUAUAUCAAAAUGUCUUACUUUAUAAAUGCUUCAUUGCUUAAAUGAAUAGGAGUUCUAAGGUUAAAAAUAUUUAAGUAAUUCUGAUUGAAAACUUAUAUUUUUGCACUAUGACAUUAAUUUUAUUUAUUUAUUUAUUUAUUGCUAUUAUUAUUUUUGUGAUGAAAUAUUAACAUAAUGGAUGAUGGUUGGGAACUUAGUGAGCUUUUAACCCCAUAUCUAGUGUUAAAUUAUCAUAAAAUUUAAUUUGCGUAAGUACAAAAUGAUAUGUGUUCAUAAUUGGACAUUCAUAUAAUUGUCUCUAAAAUUGUGACAGACCAUAGCAUUUAAGAAUAUCAUUACUGACCUUAAUAAAUGAGAAAAAUUGAAUGACAAUAACUAUAAUAUUUAGCACCAUGAAAUUUGGCAAGUGUUGGAGAAAUAAGAUUGUCUUGAGAGUAUUAACCACAUAAUACAACCUAGGGAUGGGCCAGACUACUCAACACAGAAGGGUUCAAGAAAUUUAACAGACAAGGAAAAAAGAUUCCAAUACUUGUGCGAUUUUUCUAAGUUCCAUGUUGGAUGAUCUCGUUCAAAAGUGUGAACAGUUUUCAACUGCUCAUUUGUUUAGGUAUAUCUGAGAGAGAAAUAUGGUGGCACUAGUGUGACUAGACUCAGAUAGCUGAUUAUUAAAUUUGACACAUACAAGAACUCCUAACCACAACAUCACACAACAUGUGAGGACCAUGUCUAACAUGAUUUGGGAGUUAAAGUCGACUUGUAACAUACUCUAUGAUGAAUAGCAAGUUCAAGCUUUGAUCCACUCUAUUCCUGAUAAUUGAGAGCAUCUGAAAGUUAAUCUGAUUUAUAAUGAUAGCAUCAAAACAUUUGCUGAUGCUACCCACAAUGUGGAAUUAGAGGACGAGCGAUUUUGUACUGCUAAAUCUCUAGGAUAUGCUUUUGUGGUUGAGUCUAGUUCUUCAAAAGCUCCAGCCUUUAAGUGUAAAAAGAACCGUAUCAAAUGUAGGAAAGGAAAAAGGAAAGAAAAUGGACAGGGACCUAAGAAGAACAAUUACAAACGCAACAAGAAGAAAAAGUGAUUUGGAAAGAAUAAAGACAAGAGCAAGCUGAAAUACUAUAACUAUCUGUUGCUGAUUUUCUCGAGAAUGCCUUGAGUCAAAGAAGGUAGCCCUUAUAAGUACUUCUUUUAGUGCUAUUUAUGUUUCAAGCAAUGUUAUACUAACUAAAUCUUAUCAUAUGUGAAUUGUAGACUCAAGAUCUAUAGACCAUGUCAUUAGAGAUCGAUAAGCGUUUAUGGAGUUUCAUCGAUUUCUAGUUUCUAUAAAAUGGAUAUACAUGGACAACGGUGAUAGAUUGGAGGAGAAAGCGAAUGGUACAUGUAAGUUGCAUUUGUGUGGUGGCCGUACUAUUUUUCUUCAUAAUGUCCUGCUUGCACCGGUGAUGUGACGAAACUUAAUUUCUGUUAUUGUUCCUUUAAGAUUAGUUUUCUUUUGAACUUUCGUGGUAUUUCUAUUCGUAUUUGUAAUGGUAAUAUAUAUUAUGACUCUGGAUAUGUAUCUUGUGGUUUUUUGAUGUUGGAUUAUGAGCCAAACAUUUAAUAACUAUUAUGUUGA